rnacentral:misc_RNA from 1 species
CCCAACUAUCCCUAUUAAUCAUUACGUGGUCCUAAAACCAACAAAAUAGAACCAUCGUCCUAUUUUAUUAUUCCAUGCUAACGUAUUCAAGCAAAAAUGCCCGCUUUAAACACUCUAAUUUUUUCAAAGUAAAAGUCCUAGUUCAUUGAAACACCCGAGAGCAUCCCAAUUCUCACCUUCUGGUGAAUUGGCCACACACUGAUUCAUGCCCCUAAAGGCACGAUUGAUAUAUCCCAAUCCCGAAAUUCAACUACGAGCUUUUUAACCGCAACAACACUAAUAUACGCUAUUGGAGCUGGAAUUACCGCGGCUGCUAAUACCAGACUUGCCCUCCAA